rnacentral:piRNA from 2 species
UUCCUCUCAAUACCCGUGCGCAGGCAGA